ensembl:lncRNA
GCCCCAGGAGGGCUCUGUCCUAGAGUCAGACCAGUGCCUGGGGUACCCUGGAGGCACAUUAGUGAAUGGCAACACACGUGGCCUCAUUUCAUCCCCACAGCAGGCCCCUGAGAUUGGUGCUGUUAUUACCUCCAUUGUAUGGAGAAGGAGACAGAGACACAAGGAGGCUAUACAGCUUCACACACAGGAAGUGACGGAGCCUCUGUGCGAGUCAAGAGCCUAAGUUUAUAACCUUGAUGCUCUAGGGUCGUAAAGGCCACACCAAAAUGACUUCUCAACGGAAGCAAACUUUCCCUUGAAGGCUUUUGAGUCCUGUCGACAGAAGGAACUCUGACCAUCUGAAACAGGAAGCCCUGUGACCUCAAGUUCACAAGUUCUAGGAUAGGAUCACAGGCUCUGGACCCAGACACUGGAGUUCAAACUCCUGAGUCAUCAUAUACUAGCUGAGUCUGCAUCCCACUAUGAGACUGAAAAUGCCAAAUGAUGGCUUUCCCCGCCUUCCUUGCAGCUAAGGCCUGAGCGUGUGACCCACUGCUGGCUAGUAGACCACUGAGAGAGAGUCUUCUGGAGCCCUUUCUGGAAAAGGCUUUUCUCUCACAUAAAAAGAACAGCCUUGGGCUUCCCUGAUGGUCCAGUGGUUAAAAAUCCACCUUGCAAUGCAGGGGACAUGGGUUCGAUGCUUGGUCCAGGAACUAAGAUCCCACAUGCCUCGGGGCAACUAAGCCUGUGGGGCGCGACUCCUGCAGUCUAUGCCCUGCAACGAGAAGCCAACACAAUGAGAAGCCGCAACUGGAGAGUAUCCCCUGCUCAUCACAACAAGAGAAAGCCCGCAUGCAGCAACAAAGACCCAGCACAGCCAAAAAAAAAAGAUAGCCUUUCCUCAUUGUUUAAACCACUGCAGACUGACUUUACUGUUACUUGCAGCCUAAAGCCUCCAUAACUGAUACAGAACUGGUUGCUACAAUUAUGGCAGGAAUCCAUGUGAGAAAUGAGGCUUAAUUGGAGGCACAGAAAAGAAAGAAUAGAGCUGAGGAAAGCUUGGAAGUAAAGUCAGUAAGGCUGGGUGACUGAUCGGGCGCAGGGGUUGAGCUGUGUGCUGUGUAGAAUAAAAGAAGUUUAAACCCCAGGUUUUAAACCCCAGAGGUUUAAAACACUGAUAUUAAGGAUCCCAGCAAGACAGAUACAUACUGAAUGAAAGCACCAACUAUACCAGGCAGCCUACGCC